rnacentral:rRNA from 1 species
UACGGGGGGGGCAAGCGUUGUUCGGAAUUACUGGGCGUAAAGGGUGCGUAGGCGGUCCGCUAAGUUGGAUGUGAAAACUCUGGGCUUAACCCAGAGCCUGCAUUCAAAACUGACGGGCUAGAGUUCUGGAGGGGGUAGCGGAAUUCCUGGUGUAGCGGUGAAAUGCGUAGAUAUCGAUCGGAACACCCAUGGCGAAGGCAGCUCGCUGGCCUGUAACUGACGCUGAGGUGCGAAAGCGUGGGGAGCAAACAGG